ACGGCGAGUGAAGCGGGAAGAGCUCAAGCUUAAAAUCUCCACGCAAGUGGCGAAUUGUAGUCUAUUGAAGCUGUUGUCAGCAUAGCGACUUGGGAAAAGUCCCUUGGAAGAGGGCAGCAUAGAGGGUGAUACUCCCGUCUUUGCCCAAGUUGUCUGUGUGUACGACACGCUUUCUUUGAGUCGAGUUGUUUGGGAAUACAGCUCAAAGUAGGUGGUAAAUUCCAUCUAAAGCUAAAUAUUGGUGCGAGACCGAUAGCGAACAAGUACCGUGAGGGAAAGAUGAAAAGAACUUUGAAAAGAGAGUUAAAGAGUACCUGAAACUGUUGAAAGGGAACCGUAUCGUGUCUAGUGUUUAUCCUGUGCAUAUUUCACUGGCGGUCGCAAGAUUGCUGGUGCCCUGUGCAUGGGUGUGACGUCAGAGUCAGUUUGUGCUGCGGGAGAUGGCUAGUGAGGAGGUGCGUCCCUUUUGGGAAAGUUACAGCUCGCUAGCUAGUAGCCGUGGUGUAGACUGAGGUGCCUACAACAUGCUCUGGGGUCUUUUGUUGUCUCGUGUGGGUUGUUGCCUGGAUAGCUUGCUAUGCUGGUGAUAAUGUAUGCGAUCGAUGGCAAUCGUAACCUCUGCUGUUCGGGACUCUGGCGAA
rnacentral:rRNA from 1 species